GUGACUUCUGUUUCAUUAUUUUUGUGCACAGCUCUUUGGUCUUGUUGGAGUUUAAAAUUCUCUAGAACUAAAUCAGGAAGAGUAACUCCAGAGCUGCAGAGUUUAGAUGCUGUAUGUUCAUUUCUGAUGUAAAAUAAAGACAAAAACUGAAUAAAUAAAUUACUUCUGGUGUUCCUCUUCAUGUGAUUUAAAACUUGUCACGUUUUUAGACUCAGUUCAGGGAAAAUAUCAAGUGAACAAACUGAACCAUGAAUGUAAAGACGAUCAACCAGGAAAUGUUUCUUUUUCAUGCAUUUAUUGAUUUAAUUUUCAUUUCUGAGGCAGAGAAAGCUCCAUUAGGGAGGUCAAAAUCAGGUGAGAGAAAACAAAACUAUUGAUUUAUUCUAAUUCUGCAAACAUGUGGAUCAAACUGAA